ACUCCUACGGGAGGCAGCAGUUAGGAAUAUUCGGCAAUGGGGAACCCGUAGCACCGACGCGACACUGCGUGAAGGAGGAAGGCCUUAGGGUUGUAAACUUCUGAACGAGAGACGAUAAUGACGGUAUCUCGGUAAUAGCACCGGCUAACUCCGUGCCAGCAGCCGCGGUAAUACGGAGGGUGCGAGCGUUAUCCGGAAUCACUGGGCGUAAAGGGCGCGUAGGCGGUUACAUAAGUCCGAUGUUAAAGCGUAGGGCUCAACCCUAUAAGCAGUUGGAUACUGUGAAACUAGACUUCUGGAGAGGUAAGUGGAAUUACCAGAGUAGCGGUGAAAUGCGUAGAUACUGGUAGGAACACCCAUAGCGAAGGCAGCUUACUGGACAGAGAGUGACGCUGAGGCGCGAAAGUGUGGGGAGCAAACCGGAUUAGAUACCCUGGUAGAC
rnacentral:rRNA from 1 species